UUAAAUAGUUUUACUGGAAUAAUCGAAAUACUUCCUUAGCAAAAGUUUAAUUAUUUUUGGCGAGCUUUAAUUUACUGGCAUUGGCACGUUAGGGUGUUAGGAACGGAGGUCUGGUGGAUAAGUACUACAACGGGGUUGUUGUUGUUGUUGCUGGAGUGACAGUGACAGUCCAUGGCCAGACAUAAAUCUGGCCGACUGUAGUGGGAUCGACUAGAAUGGGGUACUAGGGGUCAACGAACUUUGGAACAAAAAAAAUGCUAAAUCUCUUUUAAGAUCCGACUGAAAAAAUGUUUUGGCUCAAAUUUUUCUGACGGAGCGGGUCGCAUUUUUACAUUUUUCGGUGACACCUACAUGCGCCAAUAAAAUUGUUUGUUUAAAUAGUUUUAAUGGAAUGAUCGAAAUAUUUCCUUAGCAAAGUUUAAUGAUUUUUGAUGGGAUUUAAUUUACUGGCAUUUGGGUGGUACGUUAGUAAUAAAAAA